UGACAGAGAGAAGAUUUAGAUUAGAUAUCAGGAAGAACUUCUUUAUGGUAAGGGCGAUUGUGAAGGAGUGAGAGAGGGUAAACAGAGCCCCCAGGGUGCCUUAUGUGCCAGGCAGCUGAGACUAAGUGAGGAAGAGCAGCCAGCAGUGACAGCGAGGGAAAAUGAAAGUAAACAGAGCUUACAGCGUGAGCAGGUCAUGAGGCUGCAACUGGAGACCAGAGAAAAGGAAAAGCAAUCACAGCAACACUUCCAGAGCAGCAUCUCACUCCAGAUUGGAGGAGAGAAGCUGUUAGGAGAUAUUUCUGGGUCUGGAGAGGGGCAGAGAGGGUUAAUUCCCUGCAAGCUGCGGAGAGGAGUGGUUGAGAGUUCCUACAAGCAGAUAUUGCUGAUUCUGCCAGAGAAACACUGCAGGAGUGACCAAAAGAAGGAGGCAUGCGGACACAUCUCUAUACGAGGAUUUUGAUAAGUACUGAAGUGGAGUAGCUGCUGAGGAUCCUGGAGGGAAGCAAGGGAGACUUCUUUUUCAGGUUAGAGCCUCCCUGGUAGGGCUUUGCUGUGCUCAGAAGAGAGAUCCUACCGGGGACUGUGUAUGCUCACCAGUAAAUCUGCGCGGAUCUAUACCGAGCAGCAUUAGAUUGACUUGUUUCUUUGGAUAUGAGAGAUUGGUCCCCAGACAAAUGGGGCACAGACUGAAUCUAAAGAAAGACUGAAACUGUUGUGUUUUUGGGGUGUCUGAGCCAUCCCUUGAUGGUGUGUGUGUUGGACUAAAACUACAUUCAUCCAAGUGGCAAGCUACAGAGGGAUGAGCAUUAGACAAUAGGGCAACAUCAAAACCAGGCUGAAGAGAAACUUUGAAUUCCAUCUGGAGUGGCUAGGGUGGGAGGUUUGGAGCCCCACAGAAGAAGACAGAGAUCAAGACCUGAAGGAUCACCUCAGGGUAUUGCCUCCUAUCAACAUUGUACUAACAAAGUCAUGGCAGAAAAGAAAAAGUAGGAUCAAUCUCCCAGCAGACUGGGUGAUCUGAGGUUGAGGUCCAUCCUGUCACUGUCUGUAGGUAAAUGAACUCUCAGCAGUAGCAGUAAGCUCUAUAAUACCUACAGUCGUCACAUUGGUGCAUUGGCUGGGAAAGCAGAAGCCACCCCAGGGGUAGAGUAGGAGUUAGAUCCGCCAAUAGGGGGUCACAAAAGGUGCAGAGGCCAUACAACAGACCUUGGGCCUGGUAGUGCAGUUAUUACAGCAGCAGCAGCAACAGGCAGUCAGACAGAUGGUGGUAGAUGAGCAACUGAUGAGACAACAGGAGUUAAUACAGCGCAAUUUGGUGGAUUUUCAGGUACCAAAAAUGACACUCGAGGAUGAUCCCAAAGCAUUUUUAGAGAGUUUUGAAAGGGUCAGUGGUGGCAGGAUUAGAUCCAUCAAAAUGGGCAGCCAAGUUAGGAGUACUUUUAGAUGGACAGGCACAGGCGGCAUACAGUAAUAUGUCACAGUUGGAUGCUCAAAAUUAUGAGAGGCUCAAGGACGAAAUUUUAAAUCAUUUGGAUAUCACCCCAGAGAGAUAUGGACAAAUGUUCAGAGUGUGAAAAAAGAAAGAAGAGAAAACUCCUAGGGCCCCGCUACAGAGACUAGCGAAUUUGUUGAAUAGGUGGCUUAAGCCAGCAGUCACAUCCUUGGAGAAGGUGAUUGACAGAGUCUUGUUAGAACAGUUCCUUACUGGCCUACAGGAAGGUACUCAGAGGUGGGUAAGGUGUCAUUGCCCCAAGACCUCUAGAGAGGCAAUGUGAUUGGCAAAGGAUUUUGAUUGAGCACAGGGGGAAGGGCCUUGAGAAAAAAUUGGUAGACCCAACAGUAGUAUGAGUGGUAGAACCAGAGAGCUCCAGGGGGAACGUGACAGUAAGGGGCUUAACUGGACAAUAGUGGCUGGAGUCACUUGCUUUAGAUGUGGUAAGAAAGGGCAUAAGGCUAGAGGCUGCCUGAGUAACCCACGUCUAUAUAGUUCUGAAUUUUAUGCGCAGCAAGAAGGGAAAAAUGAGUCAAUGGGGAAACAGGAACCACCUCCAGUGGAGAUGAUGGAUUGUAGUUUGGGAAGAGUGCUAGGGGGAGGAUGAUGAGCUAAGUCAUCAGUGUUGGCGGAAGUGGCUGGGCAAGUGGUCUGGGCAAUUAUAGAUACAGGGUGUGAUCAAACCUUGGUGCAAAAAGGGUUAAUACCCCUAAGUGGAGGAGUGAAACUGACACCUAUCCAGAUGGUAUGCUUACAUGGACAAGGCUGCAUGUACUUGAGGAUGAGAGUGUGACUACCAGUAAAAGGGGGCACUCUGGAAUGGCCAGUAGGGAUAGCAGAUGACCUGUUGUACCCUAUGAUCUUAGGCCAAGAUUGGCCAGAGAUCUAUCAAUUCUUAGCAAAGGAACAGGAGCAAAUAGCCCCUAAGGAAGGUCUUAUAGGCCAGGAAGAUGCAUAGGGAUCAGAAAGUGAGGACUCUAAUCUAUGGGAUAUGAGUACAUUCACGGCGGAGUGCAAUUCCGGGAAGCCAAACAGGAAAAGCCAACAUUCCGAGCCAUGUGGGAGUCAGAGAUUGCCAAAAGAGAGCAACAGGUGAUAUGUCCAGAACUGUGCGAUCAACUGCCAUGUUGCAAGGUCUUGUGCAAGUUGAUCUCCCCACUGUCCUGCUCGAUGCCGACAGCCUGGUGCGUGGAGAGUCAAACUGUCAAGUUGAAGGUCACCACAGCAGGAAGACAGUGCCUUGGACUGGCAUUGCUGCCAUGGCUCAUCACUGAUCUAGCUCAGCUUGCCAACAUCUGGCUUCCAUGGACUCUGCUCUGCUAAGUACACUGAUUCCUCCAAUUCCUCAACAUGGGGCAUUGGUGUCCCAGGGGCACCCAGGAUGGAGACAGUCCUCCCCUGCAAGAAAAGCCAGGAUGAACUUACCUGUUCCAGGCCAGGAAGAGAUGGGCAAGCCACACCAGCAUGGAGCACCUGGGAAGUUUGUGAGCUGUGUUUAUUUCCAGUUAAAAGCAGCAUGGGUGGAUCUUAAUCUCAGAAUGCCACCCAGACCAAAUAAAAGCUGGCUGCAAGAAGACCGUGGUGGAAGCACUGCAGGGAGCAGGCAGCAAAAGUGCUUCCUGCAUUGGGCAUGGGCACUGCCAGUGACCAUCAAGGGAUCCAGGGACAGACCCAUUGGAGGGGUCCACAGUGAGGGGAAGGAGUGAGGACAGUGUUGAGAGACUGCAGGAGCCACAGACACUGGGCCAGUGAGUGGGGGCAGGCCAUGGCCCUACUCCCUUGUCCUUUCUGUUAAUUUCUUCUUUUUCUUUUACUUUCAGAGAUUGCCUGGAGGGACCCAAAGAUGAAGGUCAGAGCUAUGGGCAGUGCUCUGGGAUUCGGAGUGGCCAGGAUAGCACAGCAGACAGCCAAGCCAUAACAAAAGACCCAGCAGAAGAGCAGGGAUGGCUUUACGUCCCAAAGAGAAAUAGGGCUGGGAGAGGUCAUCUGUAGCCCAGCCGACAAGAAGAAAAUGGGAUUUGACACUCGAAGACGAUCCAUCUGACCAUCAAGUGGCCAUCCUCGUGGCUGGAGCAUGGAUGGGGUGUAGGGGAGGUGGAGCCCCACGAAUA